AGGACGAACGCUGGCGGCGUGCUUAACACAUGCAAGUCGAGCGGAAAGGCCCUUCGGGGUACUCGAGCGGCGAACGGGUGAGUAACACGUGAGCAACCUGCCCUCAGCUCUGGGAUAGCUCCGGGAAACCGGAAUUAAUACCGGAUAUGACCCUGACUGACAUCGGUCAGGGUGGAAAGGAUUCCGGCUGAGGAUGGACUCGCGGCCUAUCAGCUAGUUGGUGGAGUAACGGCCCACCAAGGCGACGACGGGUAGCCGGCCUGAGAGGGCGACCGGCCACACUGGGACUGAGACACGGCCCAGACUCCUGCGGGAGGCAGCAGUGGGGAAUAUUGCGCAAUGGGCGAAAGCCUGACGCAGCGACGCCGCGUGGGGGAUGAAUGCCUUCGGGUUGUAACCCCUUUCAGCAGGGACGAAGCGAGAGUGACGGUACCUGCAGAAGAAGCGCCGGCUAACUACGCGCCAGCAGCCGCGGUAA
rnacentral:rRNA from 1 species